GUUUUUGUAGUUGAAGACAACACUGGUUUUUCAAAUCAGAAGUCCUGGUUAAAGCCCGGGUGGAAACU
rnacentral:tRNA from 1 species